rnacentral:lncRNA from 10 species
CGGCUCACUGCAACCUACACUGAUUUUCUUGCCUCAGCCAAUUUUCUUGCCUCAGCCUCUCGAGUAGCUGGGAUUACAGGCACAUGCCACCAUGCCCAGCUAAGUUUUUAAUUUUUUUGUAGAGACGUGGUCUCAAUUUGUUGCCCAGGCUGGUCUUGAACUCCUGGGCUCAAGCGAUCUUCCCACCUUGGCCUCUCACUCCUGGGAUUACAGGCAUGAGCCACUGUGCCCAGCCUCACAAACCCUUUCAGGUGGGUUUUAUAAGCCCCAUUUACAGAUGAGCAAACCAAGCUUCAGAGACUUGUAAAUUGCUUAA